CCCCAACCACGCCCCUUUCUUCCCCCAAAUCCCUAAUUCUGAAUCAGUGAAUCAUAUUCAUCUGUGUGAGAGAAGAGAACAGAGAAGAUUGAACCCUCCACGCCCGAACCCUAGCCUGCCACCGCGCCCUCCUUCGUCGUCGCGGUCACCGGUCAACAGCGCAACCGCCGUCGCCUGGUCGUCAGCCCAAGUAACCCUCCUUCUUCGCCUGGUUCCCUGCCCAGUAGCCAUCCAUCUGCGUCUGGUUCGCUGCCG